rnacentral:pre_miRNA from 8 species
AACCCUAAACCCUAAACCCUAAUUAGUGAACCCUAAUAUUUAGUAGCCUUGCGUUACAACCGCCGGCACAAAUUAGGGUUUAGGGUUUAGGGUUU